CCAAUAGCGUAUAUUAAAGUUGCUGCAGUUAAAAAGCUCGUAGUUGAAUUUCGGGAUCAAUAUGUCGGUCGUGCCUCGGUACGUACUGGCUUAUUGGUUUCUCCCUUCUGACGAACCAUGAUGUCAUUUAUUUGGUGUUGUGGGGAAUCAGGACUGUUACUUUGAAAAAAUUAGAGUGUUUAAAGCAGGCUCACGCUUGAAUACAUUAGCAUGGAAUAAUGAAAUAGGACGUUUGAUUCUAUUUUGUUGGUUUCUAGGAUCGACGUAAUGAUUAAUAGGGAUAGUUGGGGGCAUUAGUAUUCAAUUGUCAGAGGUGAAAUUCUUGGAUGUAUUGAAGACUAACUACUGCGAAAGCAUUUGCCAAGGAUGUUUUCAUUAAUCAAGAACGAAAGUUAGGGGAUCGAAGACGAUCAGAUACCGUCGUAGUCUUAACCAUAAACUAUGCCGACUAGGGAUCGGAUGAUGUUAAUUUUUUAAUGACUCAUUCGGCGCCUUACG
rnacentral:rRNA from 1 species